rnacentral:rRNA from 1 species
GAUGAACGCUGGCGGCGUGCCUAAUACAUGCAAGUCGAGCGAACGGACGAGAAGCUUGCUUCUCUGAUGUUAGCGGCGGACGGGUGAGUAACACGUGGAUAACCUACCUAUAAGACUGAGAUAACUUCGGGAAACCGUAGCUAAUACCGGAUAAUAUUUUGAACCGCAUGGUUCAAAAGUGAAAGACGGUCUUGCUGUCACUUAUAGAUGGAUCCGCGCUGCAUUAGCUAGUUGGUAAGGUAACGGCUUACCAAGGCAACGAUGCAUAGCCGACCUGAGAGGAUGAUCGGCCACACUGGAACUGAGACACGGUCCAGACUCCUACGGGAGGCAGCAGUAGGGAAUCUUCCGCAAUGGGCGAAAGCCUGACGGAGCAACGCCGCGUGAGUGAUGAAGGUCUUCGGAUCGUAAAACUCUGUUAUUAGGGAAGAACAUAUGUGUAAGUAACUGUGCACAUCUUGACGGUACCUAAUCAGAAAGCCACGGCUAACUACGUG